GACAGAGGGUGCAAACGUUGUUCGGAAUUACUGGGCGUAAAGCGCGUGUAGGCGGCUUGGCAAGUCGGGUGUGAAAGCCCCGGGCUCAACCUGGGAAUUGCAUUCGAGACUGAAUAGCUAGGGUACGGUAGAGGGAAGUGGAAUUUCCGGUGUAGCGGUGAAAUGCGUAGAUAUCGGAAGGAACAUCAGUGGCGAAGGCGGCAUCCUGGACCGGCAUUGACGCUGAGGCGCGAAAGCCAGGGGAGCAAACGGG
rnacentral:rRNA from 1 species